UUUUUUUAAAAGAAGAGAAACACCAAACCAAAGACACCUCUCAUCCACAAAUUUUGCUGGAGAUUACAAUCUAUUGGAAGAAAAGGAAAUGUACAAGAAGAGGAAGAAAGGAAAAUCUUAGAAACAUACUCAAGGAGUCACAAGUUGGUAUACAGGAGUCUUUAACAAAAGUUACCGAUCAGUGACAGAUUCACAUGAGAAAUUUUUAAAAGCGAAUGAAAAGGUGAAAAGUA